CAACGAUAAUUGUACGUUAUGAACUUUUUUCCUUCAACAAGUGCAUAGAAUUCUGAAAUAGACCAAGAGAGAUGUUCUCAGCAUUCAUUUGCCACAAGAACUCUUUUUUUAAAAUUUUUAACUUUUAUAGACCUUGGUACUUCAUAGUGUAUAUAUAUCCAACGCAUUUUGCUGCUUCUGAUGUAGAGUAAGUCAUUUUCAACUAACUGGAGGACAGAAAAAAAUUUACAAGACACAAACACAAUUAUAAAGCAUCAAAAGAACAGAGUAACCCAUUCCUAUAUUUAAGUACAAGAAUCUCACGAGCUUAGGAGUCAAAUGGACCUUUUAUUUAUUUACUUUAAUUCCUAAUGUAACAGGGAAGAGACAAGAGAGGGAUUGAAAACCCAUGAUUUAAAGUGUUAGCAUUCAAAUGUCCAAAUUCAAGCUUCAAUUCCCACUUGCUGGAUUUUCAUUCUUUAAGGUUAUAACAUUUGCCCAGACAUGCAGUUUCCUGAAGGCUGUUUAGCUAAUAAUGUUGCAGAUUGUUUUCAUAUAUGACUCUUUGAAAAUGCCCAAUUUAGAUUUACAGAAAAAUAAAAUAUUGCAGCUUGUGAAGCACUUCAAAAACAGAAGGCUGAAAAUGCAUGAUUUAAAAUAUCUUCAGUGCUUGCAAUUUGGUAGUCCCAUUACCUAGACAAAUGGGUCUUGGGGAAAAAUAGAUUCAUAAGAUUUCAUGCUUAUUUUUCAGUUUUUACUAUCAGCUUCUCAGUUUUCAAGCUUCCUCCUUAGGAAGCAGCACCUGAUUUAAGUUUCCUUCUAUUUAAAGCGCUACUGCCCAUUCAGGGUCUUGCACCCCAACCCAUGGGUCCUUCUCGGCUCCAUCCAGAAAGAGCACCCUUUGGUUCACCUCCAGUGACCUUGGAAGCAAGAGUUUAAUAAAUAUGUAUAGUAGGCAUGAGAUCAUUUACAAUAAAUAAUUAUAUUAAAUCCAAUGUUGUUUUAAUCUAUAACAUCUGCCCCUAAGCGAAACAAAGGGAUUUUAUAAAAACCUUCAUAGGAUCAAGGGACCAUUAUAUAGAAAACAAACUAAUAUGGACAUUUUCUAGGACCGGCCAAGAUCCUAUAAUCUGCAUGAGCAUGCUGCAGUUGUAGAGAAGAACAACAUAUCCAAUAAAAGGACUAAGAAUUCACAAUUUCAGAUUGAAAGUUCAUCUGCAGGUAUUGUUUCAAGAAUUCUCAGUACACACCCUCAUGCUUUCUGUCAGAAGUGCUGCUUUUUCUUUGCAUUCCGAGAACAUGAAGAAAAUCAUUAUAAGCUUGAGGAAUUUUAAGGUUCACAUUUAUUAGACAUUUCCAAAGGGCUUUUCCAGGAGACUAAUUACGACUACUGACAAAAGCUAUUUACACAUGGUAUUAUCCAAGUGGUGUUUACCACUUUUUGUUUAGGAGUGUUCAAGUAAGUCUGCUAUCUCCUGCUCCUAUGAUGUUUGAGUUAUCCUGAUUCAGAACUUCAACUCUCACUUAAGGUGAAAAAGAAGGCUAAGAGAAAAAGAAGCAUUAAGGUCUCCUCAAAGCAAAGGGUGGAGGUGUAAAAAUAUCAUCUUGUGUUUAUGCUUGGUUAGGAGGGUAGUACCAAAAGGCAAAUGUCUUUCACCUGGUCUUCCACUUUGAAUUGCUGUUCCUGAUAUUUAAUGAGCCACAGAGUCCUCUAGUAUCCACCAUCCAUAAGAUCCGGUCUUCUUUUACAGAGGACAAAUUUAACCAAAAAGCUUUAGGGAUACCUGCUCUGUAAAAAAGAACUUAUGCUAAAUAAAAUUAUUGAUCAAAAUGCAUUGAGAUCCUAAAUAAACAAACUGAAAUAUAAGUCUUGUCUUGACUAAGUAAGUACUUAAUAGCUUGGGAUCAACUAUGAAUGUGCUUCUCUUUGUAGCCUCCAAUACAUCUCUAGUCUUCAGUGCUUUGGAUAUGCUUUAAUUUUAUAGGAAAAGAGAACUUGAGGAAAUUGAUAAGGGUAAGAGAGUUGGGUAGAAGGAGGUUUUGCUUCAAGUUUCACGCACUCUUUGUUCACAAAAAAGGAGACAGGGACAACGUUCUUUAUUUAGUCUAAAAACUUCAGUAAGAAAGUGUCACUGAACUGACAUUUCAAAACAUCCCAGACAGAAAAAAAAAAGGCAAAAGACACUUGCGUCUUAUGAGCAACUCUACAAUGAAUUUAUUAGCUUAAAAAUGUAAAUCCUAUUAUUCUUGGGGUAAAGGGGAAAGCAUUCAAACUAGUUUAAACAGAUUUUAUAGUAUCAGGGGUUUUUGUUGUUUGUUUGUUUGUUUUUAGUAUUAAAUGCAAGUUGGUAUGCCCAAAAUUAAACGAAGAAACAAACUCUGGAGACACAAGAAAGCAAGUCCCUAAUGCCCCAAAUUCUUUCAGUUGUC